UGCAUUUCAAACAGUUCCAGAUUAGACCACGAUAAAACGUACAUGAACUCUGCACCAUUAGUGUUACCAGGUAUAGGGGCAGAGAUUCAGAAGACAUGUGAUGAAACCUGAUGCUGAUUACAACAAAUGGAUUUACACUGAAGAUCAGCUGGAAUAAUUUGGCCCCUAAAAACAGAGACAGAUUCUAAACACUGCUCUCCUGGCUCCGUUCAUCCCUUGGCAGGAAGGAAGGCAGGAGCAAACAUCUUGGACAACAGGGCUGCACAACAUGUCAGUGUGCUUGAGAUCAUUUCUGCAUUUUGCACCUAAAAGACAACACACUGCUAACAACUUUCUCAGCAGGCAACAGGAGCAGGGAGGGGAAGGAAACUGCAGCAGGCACUCCUGAGGGACUGAAGAGCAAUGACGGCUUCUAUCUGAAGAAUGCUGAGAAAAUCUAAAAAGUUAUUUUAAAGCUUCUGAAGAAUUAAUAGAACGAUGUCCGUAAACGUCCUCUCAGAAAUAUCAGAAUCCAGGGUGGGGUUUUACAGAAGUUGGAGAGGUACGAGAACUGAGGCUGAUGGCUGACUACAAUGAUUUUUUUUCCUAUAUUUCAUUGAAUCACAGAAUGGCCUGAGUUAAAAAGGAUUUCAAAGACCAUCUAGUUUCAAGCCCCCUGCUUUGGGCAUGGCCACCAACCACCAGACAGGGAGCACAUUUGCCCCUUGUUUUCACACUGGGAGUUGCAUAUUUGUAACUGAGGGAAGAACUGAGUGCAGUGUUAACAACGUUAGGUAAAUAAUGUUGCUAUUAGAUUUUUAGAACCUGUUCUUUCUUUUUUUUUUUUUUAACGUGUUAUGUAAUCACUCCUCUAAUGAGCGUUCGGCCAAUAAAGGUGAAACAAGUUGCUAA
rnacentral:lncRNA from 1 species